AGAGUUUGAUUAUGGCUCAGGAUGAACGCUAGCGACAGGCUUAACACAUGCAAGUCGAGGGGCAUCACGGGAGUAGCAAUACAACUGGUGGCGACCGGCGCACGGGUGAGUAACGCGUAUGCAACCUACCUAUCAGAGGGGAAUAACCCGGCGAAAGUCGGACUAAUACCGCAUAAAACAGGGGCACCGCAUGGUGAUAUUUGUUAAAGAAAUUCGCUGAUAGAUGGGCAUGCGUUCCAUUAGGUAGUUGGUGAGGUAACGGCUCACCAAGCCGACGAUGGAUAGGGGAACUGAGAGGUUGGUCCCCCACACUGGUACUGAGACACGGACCAGACUCCUACGGGAGGCAGCAGUGAGGAAUAUUGGUCAAUGGGCGGGAGCCUGAACCAGCCAAGUCGCGUGAAGGAAGAAGGAUCUAUGGUUCGUAAACUUCUUUUGCAGGGGAAUAAAGUGCAGGACGUGUCCUGUUUUGUAUGUACCCUGAGAACAAGGAUCGGCUAACUCCGUGCCAGCAGCAGC
rnacentral:rRNA from 1 species